rnacentral:rRNA from 1 species
AUUGAACGCUGGCGGCAUGCCUUACACAUGCAAGUCGAACGGUAACGCGGGGCAACCUGGCGACGAGUGGCGAACGGGUGAGUAAUGCAUCGGAACGUGCCCGGUAGUGGGGGAUAACUGCUCGAAAGAGCAGCUAAUACCGCAUACGACCUGAGGGUGAAAGGGGGGGAUCGCAAGACCUCUCGCUAUCGGAGCGGCCGAUGUCGGAUUAGCUAGUUGGUGGGGUAAAAGCCCACCAAGGCCACGAUCCGUAGCUGGUCUGAGAGGACGACCAGCCACACUGGGACUGAGACACAGCCCAGACUCCUACGGGAGGCAGCAGUGGGGAAUUUUGGCCAAUGAACGCAAGUCUGGUUCAGCCAUGCCGCGUGCGGGAAGAAGGCCUUCGGGUUGUAAACCGCUUUUGUCAGGGAAGAAAUCUUCUGAGUUAAUACCUCGGGAGGAUGACGGUACCUGAAGAAUAAGCACCGGCUAACUACGUGCCAGCCGCCGCCGUAAUAC